CAAGCGUUGUCCGGGUUUAUUGGGCGUAAAGAGCGUGUAGGCGGCCAGGUAGGUCUGCUGUGAAAACUCGAGGCUUAACCUCGAGCUGUCGGCGGAAACCAUCUGGCUAGAGUCCGGAAGAGGAGAAUGGAAUUCCCGGUGUAGCGGUGAAAUGCGCAGAUAUCGGGAAGAACACCCGUGGCGAAGGCGGUUCUCUGGGACGGUACUGACGCUGAGACGCGAAAGCGUGGGGAGCGAACAGG
rnacentral:rRNA from 1 species